GUGGCGAGCUCGGUCAGAGAAGCAGGGCCAGCUAUCACCUGCCGUGAGGCCUCGGCCGGCCAAGGGGCGGGAAGGAAGAGUGGGGAGUGGGGUCUCUUUUCUGCUGGCCCCCCCUCCUCUCAGGGGUCCUCUCAGGCUCCACUUGCCCUCUGUGGACGCCUCCGGGGAGAAGGAGCAACAGCAGCAAGAGAGCGGGGCGAGGGGGCGGGGGCUCCUAAAAGCCAUUCUUCCCCCCAUUUGUUUUCUCAGACUUUAGCUCAGGAUGUGGCCAGCCUGUGUGACCAGCUUCCUCUCUGGGCUAAGACACUGGUCGCAGCCCCAUGUGGCUUCUAGCACGCGCCUUCUGCAUUCUUUCCACGCACCCGUCCCUUAUCCAGCUCUUCCUUACUUCAUUUAUUCAUUGAUGUGCUCUGAGUCUAUCGAACACUCCAGAACGGCAGGUAAGCUGCUGAAGGUGAGAUGGUAAGACCACACCGUGGCUCCCAAGGCACUGAGAGUCCGCUGAGGCCGACCGCGCGUGGACCCGGGCAGGAGCGCCAAGCGGUUAACGGGAAUCCGGAGGCCAAGUCCAGAUGAGCUGCUCAUCAACCGUGUAGAACCAGCCCUUGACCCGGACUGCGCGGGCCCGAGGAAGGGGGCGACCCCGCUGAGUCCUCCCUGACGAGGGGGAAAGGCGGCACGUGUGGAGGAGCAAUCACGUCGGACACUUGCUGCCCCAGGAGGGGUGAGAGAGCCAUGGGAUUCCGAAGGCUCCUUGGGUGCCCGGUCAGGGCGUGUGCUCAUGGCCUUCAAGGCCUGGAACAGCCUGAGAAGAAAGGGCUUCCCAGCCUCCUCCGGGUCUCUCGGUCUUUCCUCCACCCAGGCCCUAGGCUACGCGGGGGCCUUCCCCGGUGCGGAUCUCAACAUUGAGGAGCUCGUCCCAGUCCCAGGGAUGUCUUGAACAAAAAGCCCGAGGAAACCAACGGCAGGAAGAGCGACUUCUUUUAAGUUAACAGAAUGUUUACAUUUCAUUGUGGUGAGAACUGAACAGGAGAGGAACCCUCUCAACUGGUUUAGAAAUGUCCAAUAACAGUAUUGUUAUAUGGGCGCAGGGUCUCCUGGGGAAGGGUAUUUCGGAGGCCCCACCGUCCCCUAGCUCUCCUGCUGUUGCUCCCGCGGCUGGACUUCCCCUUCCCGAGGGGUCCACAGGGAAACAGCCCCCGAGAGGACGGGGUGUCAGCAGAAAAGAGACACCACUCUCCACUUUUCCUUCCUGCCAUCUUUGGGACUAAAUGCCUACAGACUUCUGUUGUGUCUGUUUCAAUGUUUUUGUUUUUUUUGUUUUUUUUUUUUUGCAUCUGUACCAUGUUUUUAAAUAUUUUAUGUAUUCUAUUUGAUAUAUAUUUUGUAUGUGCGUAAAAUAUAUUUUACAUAUCCUAUUUUUUCAUGCAAAAACAAAUCAAAAUGGGGACCUGGGUGGCUCAGUCAGUUGAGGGUCUGACUCUUGAUUUUGGCUCGGGUCAGGAUCUCAGAUCUGGCCCUGCACUGGGCUCCAUGCUCAGCAGGGAGUCGGCUGGAGAUCCCCCCGCCCCACCCCUACUCAUGCACACUCUCUUUCUCUCUCUCUCUAAAAUAAAUAAA
rnacentral:lncRNA from 1 species